rnacentral:lncRNA from 1 species
GUGACCUACAAAUAACCAAACAUUUUUAAGUCUGUAAGGAGCAACAAAUCUACUAUUUCGUGUACUUAGUAGCAGCCAGUAAUGCAAAAUUUUCCACUGACUUCUAGAAGCUGAAGGGUCACAGAUAAUUGAAAACAGCUUCCAUAUACUGAAGGGAUCAACUUUACUUCUACAUCCAAGGGUCUAGCUCUGUUGUUCGGAUUGGAGAGCAGUGGUGAAAUCACUGCAGCCUCGAUCUCCCAGGCUCAAGCAAUCUUCCCACCUCAGCCUCCCAAGUACCUAAGACUACAGGCGUGUACCACACCUGGCUAAUUUUGUUUAUUUAUUUACUUAUUUAUUUUGUAGAGACAGGGUCUCACUAUGUUGCCCAGAUGGUCUCAAACUCUUGGACUCAAGUGAUCCUCCUGCCUCAGCCUCCCAAAGUGCUGGGAUUACAGGCAUGAGCCAUUGCACCGGGCCAUACAGCCUUAUUUGUUAGAUUCCUACUCACUUCCUUUCCCCAUCUUAAUACCGGAAACAUCCUGUGAGACCAGAAGUUUAGUAAUUCUGGCAUAAAGCCAACAACAAAGACAAGUAAGU